rnacentral:rRNA from 1 species
CGCGGCCUAUCAGCUUGUUGGUGAGGUAAUGGCUCACCAAGGCGACGACGGGUAGCCGGCCUGAGAGGGUGACCGGCCACACUGGGACUGAGACACGGCCCAGACUCCUACGGGAGGCAGCAGUGGGGAAUAUUGCACAAUGGGCGCAAGCCUGAUGCAGCGACGCCGCGUGAGGGAUGACGGCCUUCGGGUUGUAAACCUCUUUCAGUAGGGAAGAAGCGAAAGUGACGGUACCUGCAGAAGAAGCGCCGGCUAACUACGCGCCAGCAGCCGCGGUAAUACGUAGGGCGCAAGCGUUAUCCGGAAUUAUUGGGCGUAAAGAGCUCGUAGGCGGUUUGUCGCGUCUGCCGUGAAAGUCCGGGGCUCAACUCCGGAUCUGCGGUGGGUACGGGCAGACUAGAGUGAUGUAGGGGAGACUGGAAUUCCUGGUGUAGCGGUGAAAUGCGCAGAUAUCAGGAGGAGCACCGAUGGCGAAGGCAGGUCUCUGGGCAUUAACUGACGCUGAGGAGCGAAAGCAUGGGGAGCGAACAGGAUUAGAUACCCUGGUAGUCCAUGCCGUAAACGUUGGGCACUAGGUGUGGGGGACAUUCCACGUUUUCCGCGCCGUAGCUAACGCAUUAAGUGCCCCGCCUGGGGAGUACGG